rnacentral:rRNA from 1 species
UCGAACGGUAGAGGGGGCAACCCUUGAGAGUGGCGAACGGUGAGUAAUAUAUCGGAACGUGCCCAGUCGUGGGGGAUAACGUAGCGAAGUUACGCUAAUACCGCAUACGAUCUAAGGAUGAAAGCGGGGGGAUCGCAAGACCUCGCGCGAUUGGAGCGGCCGAUAUCAGAUUAGGUAGUUGGUGGGGUAAAGGCUCACCAAGCCAACGAUCUGUAGCUGGUCUGAAAGGACGACCAGCCACACUGGAACUGAGACACGGUCCAGACUCCUACGGGAGGCAGCAGUGGGGAAUUUUGGACAAUGGACGCAAGUCUGAUCCAGCCAUUCCGCGUGCAGGAUGAAGGCCCUCGGGUUGUAAACUGCUUUUGUACGGAACGAAAAGGUUUCUCUUAAUACGAGGAGCUCAUGACGGUACCGUAAGAAUAAGCACCGGCUAACUACGUG